GAUGAACGCUGGCGGCGUGCCUAAUACAUGCAAGUCGAGCGAACAGAUGAGGAGCUUGCUCCUCUGACGUUAGCGGCGGACGGGUGAGUAACACGUGGAUAACCUACCUAUAAGACUGGGAUAACUUCGGGAAACCGGAGCUAAUACCGGAUAAUAUAUUGAACCGCAUGGUUCAAUAGUGAAAGACGGUUUUGCUGUCACUUAUAGAUGGAUCCGCGCCGCAUUAGCUAGUUGGUAAGGUAACGGCUUACCAAGGCAACGAUGCGUAGCCGACCUGAGAGGGUGAUCGGCCACACUGGAACUGAGACACGGUCCAGACUCCUAAGGGAGGCAGCAGUAGGGAAACUUCCGCAAUGGGCGAAAGCCUGACGGAGCAAAGCCGCGUGAGUGAUGAAGGUCUUCGGAUCGUAAAACUCUGUUAUUAGGGAAAAACAAAUGUGGAAGGAAAUAUGCAAGUCUUGAAGGUACCUAAUCAGAAAGCCAAGGCUAAAUAAGUG
rnacentral:rRNA from 1 species